rnacentral:lncRNA from 1 species
CCAAAAUAACCUCAAUAAUUUAUUCAGUGUUCAACACACUUACUAAAAUACUCUCUUUGGUCUCAUAAUAUGGACCAGAUACAUCAAUUAUUCAAUACACUUGAAAACAGAAUCUUUGCUUAUAUAUGAGACUCGAGGGAGUACAAAUUUAAAAUCUUAAAAACCAACACAUGCCAAAAUUAAUUAACAAAUAAUUAAACAAUAAAAGGUGUUAACUACUACCUAGUACCUACAACUUGCAAUAGGGAACUUCUUUUAUGUAACUUCAAAAAUAAGGUAAGUGAUCCUAACUGAAUAGCACUAACAGAAAAAGUAUCCUUAUCAAUUUUUGGUGAGUUGUGAUUGAUGAUUGGUAAAGGGGCACUAUCAUUGAAAAUUAAAGGGCUCUUACAAAUUGAAUGAUAGUAACACUAGUUGAUAAUGAUACUCUGCAAUCUUCAUCAACAAGAAAACAUUUUUAGUUCAUUUUCUUUAUUAUUGAAAACAUUCUUAGUGGAAGAACAAUGGAACAACAUGACCCUGAAAAAGAAACCAAUAGAUUAUUUAUUCUUCAAGCACCCAUUUGCAAGCUAUGUAAAAUAUUAAACUAAAAAAUUAUUAAAAGCAUAGAAAGCAACAAUUUUUAAGCAUUGAGAAUCUAAAGUAUUCUGAAGCAAAUCAAAUUGGGAAUUGGGUUUUGUAGAAAUAAACAAAUCCAAGUCAAAUUGAAAUGGAACUUACAAAUUAUACAAUAUGGUUAUUUAAUAGAAUCGAAUCUGAUACAUUAAAGAGUGAAUCUUGGAGGAAAUGAGAAAGAAAGAACCUGAAAAUCAGAAGACGGUAAUGACAUUUUCAAUUAGCAAAGGUAGGAGCAUCCGCAGGCCACAGCACUCGAGUUUGGUCAAGUCUGGCCUACGAAUUGUC